rnacentral:lncRNA from 1 species
AAUAUUCUCAGUCAAGUCCCUCACAGCGCGCGUAUUUUACACAUAUGCACCUCCAUGUCCGAUCUCACGCAAUUCGGCACAUAAAAUAUAGGGUCUCUUCGCGAUUUAUCCGGUUUGCCACUUUGACCCCUCAGCGAACAUCUCGCUUUUUCCGAAGAUCCGUCCGUCGGAUUUUCGAUCCGACAGUGCCAUCGCAUUCAGCAUGACGAGGGUAAUAAAACUACAAUCUUGUUUCGUUAGAUUUGGUCAUAGAUUCGCGACGGAACCCAUCCGCUCUCUAAUUAAUCCGUAUAACGCACAUAUACCAAAGUAUAAACCCUAUAACCUUUAAUUCAAAUUCAAAUUUGAAUUCCCUACCACCAGUAGGUACCAGAAACAACU